GCUUAUCACCAUUCCAGAUUGAAUAUACCCGAUCUCGUCUGAUCUCGGAAGUCAAGCCUCUCGGGCUUGGUUAGUACUUAGAUGGGUGACCG
rnacentral:rRNA from 1 species